AUCAUGAAAGGCCCAUGUGUGAUAGAUGGACUCUGGGAAAUAAAAAUAAUCACCCUAGGUGGAGAUCCCAGAGAAAAGAUAAUAAUGGUAUCCCCCUCACAAGACCUUGGAUUCCCUACCAUGUGCUUAAAGCACAGAAUAGACAACUAAAGGCAGAAAAUCUUUCUCUAACAUGUGAACGAAAUGAGUUCCUUGAAAAACUGGAUUGUCUCAAGGCACAAUUAAGUAGAUUAGAGGAGAUGGUUAAC